ACCCCUGUGACAUACCUAUCGUUGCUUCGGCGGGACCGCCCCGUGGCCUUCGUGCCCGGAACCAGGCGCCCGCCGGGGACCUCAAACUCUUGUAUUUUUUGGAAUUAUCUGAGUGACAAAACAAAUGAAUCAAAACUUUCAACAACGGAUCUCUUGGUUCUGGCAUCGAUGAAGAACGCAGCGAAAUGCGAUAAGUAAUGUGAAUUGCAGAAUUCAGUGAAUCAUCGAAUCUUUGAACGCACAUUGCGCCCGCCAGUAUUCUGGCGGGCAUGCCUGUUCGAGCGUCAUUUCAACCCUCAAGCCCCCGGGCUUGGUGUUGGGGACCGGCCACCGCUGACCUCCGGGUCUGCAGGCCGCCCCCUAAAUGCAGUGGCGGUCACGUCGCGGCAUCCUCUGCGUAGUAGCACACCUCGCAGGCGGAUCGCGACGCGGCCACGCCGUAAAACCCCCAUCUUCUGAAAUGUUGACCUCGGAUCAGGUAGGAAUACCCGCUGAACUUAAGCAUAUCAAUAAGCGGAGGAAAG
rnacentral:rRNA from 1 species